rnacentral:ncRNA from 1 species
GUUCAUUCGUUCCCAUGGUUCGAUCCCUCCCAGUAAAACGCGGCGUGUUCGAAUGAUGAUCGCUUUUACGCGAGAAAGGGGGACCACCCUCUAAGCCUAAGUAUUCCUCAAUGACCGAUAGCGUACAAGUACCGUGAGGGAAAGGUGAAAAGAACCCCAAUCGGGGAGUGCAAUAGAGAACCUGAGAUCCGAUGCGAACAAUCAGU